rnacentral:rRNA from 1 species
AUUGAACGCUGGCGGCAGGCCUAACACAUGCAAGUCGAGCGGGGUUUUCGGACCUAGCGGCGGACGGGUGAGUAAUGCGUAGGAAGCUGCCCGAUAGAGGGGGAUACCAGUUGGAAACGACUGUUAAUACCGCAUAAUGUCUACGGACCAAAGUGUGGGACCUUCGGGCAACAUGCUAUCGGAUGCGCCUACGUGGGAUUAGCUAGUUGGUGAGGUAAUGGCUCACCAAGGCGACGAUCUCUAGCUGGUUUGAGAGGAUGAUCAGCCACACUGGAACUGAGACACGGUCCAGACUCCUACGGGAGGCAGCAGUGGGGAAUAUUGGACAAUGGGCGCAAGCCUGAUCCAGCCAUGCCGCGUGUGUGAAGAAGGCCUCCGGGUUGUAAAGCACUUUCAGCGAGGAGGGAGGGUUGUGUGUUAAUAGUACACAGCUUUGACGUUACUCGCAGAAGAAGCACCGGCUAACUCUGUGCCAGCCGCCGCCGUAAAAC